CAUGCAAGUCGAGGGGCAGCAUGAACUUAGCUUGCUAAGUUUGAUGGCGACCGGCGCACGGGUGAGUAACACGUAUCCAACCUGCCGAUGACUCGGGGACAGCCUUUCGAAAGAAAGAUUAAUACCCGAUGGCAUAGUUCUUCCGCAUGGUAGAACUAUUAAAGAAUUUCGGUCAUCGAUGGGGAUGCGUUCCAUUAGGUUGUUGGCGGGGUAACGGCCCACCAAGCCUUCGAUGGAUAGGGGUUCUGAGAGGAAGGUCCCCCACAUUGGAACUGAGACACGGUCCAAACUCCUACGGGAGGCAGCAGUGAGGAAUAUUGGUCAAUGGACGAGAGUCUGAACCAGCCAAGUAGCGUGAAGGAUGACUGCCCUAUGGGUUGUAAACUUCUUUUAUACGGGAAUAAAGUGAGGCACGUGUGCCUUUUUGUAUGUACCGUAUGAAUAAGGAUCGGCUAACUCCGUGCCAGCAGCCGCGGUAAUACGGAGGAUCCGAGCGUUAUCCGGAUUUAUUGGGUUUAAAGGGAGCGUAGGCGGACGCUUAAGUCAGUUGUGAAAGUUUGCGGCUCAACCGUAAAAUUGCAGUUGAUACUGGGUGUCUUGAGUACAGUAGAGGCAGGCGGAAUUCGUGGUGUAGCGGUGAAAUGCUUAGAUAUCACGAAGAACUCCGAUUGCGAAGGCAGCUUGCUGGACUGUAACUGACGCUGAUGCUCGAAAGUGUGGGUAUCAAACAGGAUUAGAUACCCUGGUAGUCCACACAGUAAACGAUGAAUACUCGCUGUUUGCGAUAUACAGUAAGCGGCCAAGCGAAAGCGUUAAGUAUUCCACCUGGGGAGUACGCCGGCAACGGUGAAACUCAAAGGAAUUGACGGGGGCCCGCACAAGCGGAGGAACAUGUGGUUUAAUUCGAUGAUGCGCGAGGAACCUUACCCGG
rnacentral:rRNA from 1 species